GGGUUGGAGAUGAGUCCACAGAAUAGCAUACGGUAAGGCAUAAAGGAACGCGCAUGUCAAGUGACCAGUUAGAAGGAUGGGACAGAAGGACCAUCGCUGUACCAAGCCUGGACCCCGGACUCCCAGUGUGAGUGAGGACUGGAUUCUGACCAAGGGACCUACCUGGUGACCCCCUGGACAGCGUUGAUCGGGUACGCCUAACUUCACUGGAACAACUUGGCAUGCACCUGGCAUAGAGGGACUGCCAAUAAGUUGCCAACCCCAUGUGGGAACUC